CCCUGCACCUACAUAUUUAUGCUGUGAGCAUUUGAGAUACUCUGUGUCACACAGACAAGUGGAUUAAUGCAAUGAGUAAUGUGGAUAAUCAACACGCUUAUCUGGUUCCCCAAAUACCCACCUGGUCUCUGGAAGGGAUUAAAGCAAUGCAAUGAAUUCAUCUUCAAGUUUUAUGUGCUACAGCACUGCAAACACAUGUCCAUCUUUCCAGCAAUACGGCAAAAGCAGUAUUUGCACAUCUGCAGGGUUAGUGAUUUGUGUGAAUAUAUUUGGAGCAUUUCUUAGGUAACCCGAGCCCUGCCUGCCCAGCGUGGAGCCUGCUAGUUCCAGGUGCCUGAGAUUAGUUCAUUAGUAGAGGCAGGCAAUUAGGGCCUCUGCCUGAGUGAGUGGAAGACCAUUCAUUGUCUUCCCCAGGAACCAGCUCAGGCCCUCAGUAAUUAUUUUGAAGAAGGUUUUUAGAAUCAGUAUCUAAAGAAAAGAUGACCCUUUUGGAGGCACAAAAGGACUUCUCGAGGCCAAAAUGUUGUAAUAUUCUACCACCUCAGAAGAACCAGGUAUGAAGAGGGGAACUUUUAACACCAUUUCAUCCAAACAACUUCCCUUAUAUUUCAGAGUUGUUUCUCAGUGGAUGACGCUGACCAAGAAGGCAAUGAAGCUAACUACGUGUAUUCGGCUCAGGUACGCUCCUCCCUGUCGCUCAGUUACACAUCUGUGGGCGAGCCCUCUCCACUCCUCAAGCAAGAAAAGAAAGGCAGGACUGGCUGCUAGCAAGUAAAUACAAGCUGAAACAUCUGUGUGACAGAUAAUCACAUACAGCUACGAGAGUCACUGAUGCUGAUCCAUCUGUAAACCAUUCCAUGUGCCAGUUACUUGAUACCAGGUGGGUUUUUCUGGAGGGGAAGCCAAGAGAAAAUGAGUGUAUGUCCACGGCGAAGUUAAGACACAUAUUUAGCUCAUUACUGCUCUCCUUUCUUUUAUGGUUUUUCACUUUUAUGUCAGGCUCUUUCUUCUUCACAUUGCUGUAUGGCAUAGAACUACUGAUGAGCUUUCUGAGGCAACACAUGCUGGACUGUAGUAUAUAAUCUAUACAUGGAACACCUUCAAACACUUUUUGCAUGUAAUCAGUGGAGUGAUCCAAGCACACGUAAGGGGGCUGUGGAGACUGGAGUGGCAUUUGUGUGCAAUUCAGCUUGCAGCAUUCCUGUCUGGGGCCCUCCUCCAAUGCUGUGGAAGUCACCGGGCAAUUUGGUCCAGACUUAAGUGACAGGAAGAGCUAAACCAAUUACAUUUUCUAAGACUGUGAAAUGAAAGUCUUUAUGUAUUUACACAGUAGAUUUUACAAAGUGCGUUCAUAUUAUCAUCUUUACUGCCAGAUCUUAUUAAAAACAUCCUUUAUUCUGUGACUUUGACUAAGCCUCAGGCGAGGGGCCACGGGGCACCACAGUCAUGUCCCUGAAAACCACUCCUGCUGCUUGGAUAGCUAAGCCACUGCUGACUGCUUUCUCUGUAUCAGCACCGUGCUUUCAUACUUGGUUAAAGUGUUUUCUAAAGGCAGCUUGGCCCCAUCUUAUCCCAGUAAUUACAUUAGUAGCAUGACCAGGGGACUGUUCAGUUCUCCUAAGUCAGAACCAUCUUAUUUUAUAUCUCCUGGUAGUACCAUGGAAAAUUAUGUAUCUGGAGACAUGUAACGAUAUCAAUUUAGAGUCAAUAUUUCUAUUUUAUCUCUCAAUCUAAGGCUGGAUUACACAGCAGAAAAUGGGUCCUGAAGGCAACACUACUCAGGUCCUUUCACUGUGCAGCUGGACACUUUUGUUUACACUUAAUGUUUAAAUCUUUCACUUUAAAUCUCCACUUACCACUUUUUUCUGAAUUUAUCUGUAGGUACAUGCAGGACUUUCUCCUCAUUUUAAUACAUAUUUUUGAUUUUUAAAAAGUGAUUUCUUAAUCUGAUUUUUAAUAAGACUACAUUUAUAAAUAAUAAUAAAACCAUGGCUUAUUUCAAUAAGAUAUUGCAGUUGUACAAAUUGGUCUUCUUUUACCAGUACAUUUUACUGCUAUCGCUAUUCCAACUAAAGAAGUCACUCAAAAAAAUGUUUACAUGAUAAUGUAACCUAUAUUUUUUCCCCUUUUAUUUUCAGGAAAUUAAACUGUAAGGGAUAUGCAUGAGCCAAAGUAAAUAGUGGCAGCAGGAGAGGAAGCAUUUACAGACAUCAACUCCAUUGUAUAAUUUCAAGAGUCCAACCAAAAAAAGACAUCAAACACAAUCUAACCUGCUUGCUUGUACAGAAAAAUGGAAGACUAAGUGUAAAUAAUCUGAACAUUGCAACAGACCAUUUUAAAGGUCCUUCAUUUGCAACUGCUGCCUUUGUUUCUCCUUUGUAUCGAUAAACUCUUGUAAAAUACAAUACUUUAAAUAAAAUGUCUUUACAAAGAGACAAAGCACAAAAUCCUGCAUCAGCCACCCUAUAUAUUUCUUUCCUUAAUUAAUUGUUCAUUUUAAAUACAUGGCAGUUAUUUCUAUAUACACUUAUAUACUCACAGAACACAUUUUUCUCCUUAUCUGCUAUAGCUAUCAGAUUACUUUGACCAGCUAUGUAUGUUAUUAGCUGUACAAAAACAACUUGGCACCUGCUUGUUGUUGUCUCUGUUACUCAUGUAGUACAGCGUUUCUAAGGGAUGCAUUUAUCUUUCAAAAUCAUUCUUCUGCAUUGUGGCUUAAACAUUAGUUCUCAACAAAGAGGAGAAUGCCCUGGGCAUUUUUUAGUUCCAAACAAAGUCAAAUGUUGCUACACUUUUGUCCAAAUAAUCCCCAGAUAUAAGCAAUAUUUGAAAGAAGAAAUGUGCUACCUCUCACCUUCAGAAGAUGCUGGUCAGAUGUGUAAGCUGGAAAGCCAAAACCUCAGUUGUAAUAUGUCUAAUGAAACCAGAUUCAUUUACUCCUUCUGAACCUGAUCCAGUCUUUCAUGUUUCAUUAAAUACCAUUCAGAGAGGUGAAUGAUUAAUCUGAGGUUAACUGUAUCUUUUCAAUAUUCCUUUUGACAACAAAUAAUCUUCCUAUUUUUUCCAACAAUAAAUCAACAGAAACUUCCAUAUUGGUCAGUUAUGAUCACCAAAGCACUAACAAAUUUUCACUUCCCAUGUAUUUUUUGUCAUGGAUUUUUCACUUCUCAGUCUUGCCCAGUCACUGGUUCCCUAUACAAAGAUGUUUCAAACCAAUUAACAUCCUUGAAUGAAAACUGAAAUUCAACCACUCCUUAUCUAAGCAUUAACAUUAUUCAUACUGCUCCUAUACUACAGUGCACACUACCAACUGCCCCAUUAUUUUAACCUUUACUACUACAGUACAGAGGAGGAUUCUACCAUUAAAAACAAAUUGCCAGAAUGCUAUGAAUACAUUAUUUUAAGAACACAUGGAGGGUUCCCACACUGAUCAAAUAAAAUCUGGGUCCCGUGAAGGCAGUACUAGUUUAGCUUCAGUGGAGGCAGGCCUUUGCUCAUCAUAUGUGACAAAAAAAACACCUUUAAAGGCAGUGAGCUUUGUUCACGUACUCUUCACAUUAAGAUGUCUGAAGAUUUUCUUGAACGCAGACUUCUGCUAAGGGCUUUACACUUAGAUUAGUUUAAUCAAAAUCACCUUUUUUUUCUGCAAGUGGCAAGGUCAAAGCCUUCUAGAUACACAGAUAUACAAAUAACAUCAAGAUUUUAAAGUUUUUAUUGUAGUAGUGGUCUUUUGGUACCCAAUUGCAAUAAUUUUAAGUGGGGGUUUCAGACUUUGGACUCCCUUUACUGAGCUAAAUGAAGAUCUGCAAUGGUGAUCAAAGGGCCUUAUGAGGAAAUAAGCUGUCAUUUGGACAGAAGUAUAUUAAAGCUGACAACAGCAAAGCCGAUCUUCCCUAAGACAAGCAGAGUUCAGGUUACUUCACAUUCAUUAUUAUUUUUUCCCCAGAAAGCUUGGAUGAAGUUUUCUACCUACUUUUGGAUGGGAUAUCAACAUUUGCAGAAUGUUUUCAGAAGGUCAGCAUACUAGAUCCCGCAGGUAUAAAUGUCAGUCUUCAGUGGAGACGUAUACCGUUUCCCACAUCAAAACCCUGGCAUCUGACAGCUUACCAGAAAUAAUCCAUAGGGGUCUUCUCUUUGUUAUUAACGACAGAGGCACAUCUCUUGGCAAUGAUUUGUUUCUCUUCAGAAUGGAAAUUAUCUAGGGGAAUUCUUUACCUCUGACCUAUGUUAGACUUUGCUUGUUAUCACCCUCACAGCAGCACUGGCUUGCUGCUGAAGUAUAUUCUUUUCUCAAAGAAAAGAAAUGGCUUUUUAAUACAUGAUAAAUACAAGGAUCAAUGAGGUGGGGAGAAACUUGCUCUCUUCUUCUUUUUAUUAUGGCAAGAUUCACCUACACGUCCACCAAAAAUAUCUGACCAAAAACAGUUUUCAGGGUGUGCUGACACAUGCCAUAUCAUCUUAGGUCAGGGCAACAUUCCAAUACUGGGUUCAGUUGAAAUAUAUUAAAGCCUUAAAUACCUGAAGUCCAAAACAUAUGGAAAAAAGGAAAGAGAAAUGGAAAAGAAAAAGAAGAUGUUAACAUGUUCUAAGCUCUUGAUCAACUAGCAUUUCAAAGUCUUGUCAGCUUAAAAUGGUUCUGGUCUUUCUCACCAAAACUUUUAAGAGAAAGUGAGUAUUCCCUAUUAAAAAAAAAAAACAACCAACAAACCCUACAUUUUUCACUACUCAAAAGGAGGGAUACCUCUGCAAAUUUCAUUAUACAGCCUAUAAACAAAAAUGAAUGGAAAAUAACAAGUGUAUGUAUUCACUUGAUAUAUGGUCAAACUUGUCCUAAGAAAAAAGAAGAUAUUGGGUUGCUUUACUACAUCAUCUAGAAUACCUACUCUUUUAAGGUUUAAAUAACUGCUUUGCAGAGUUUAAGUUUGAUUGUAAAGCCAUAGAAAUUAUACAAUGAACAAAUAACUUCAACUGCAAAUAGAGGCAAGUUUUAAGAGCGAACAAAGUAUAUUCCAGCAUGCUAGCAGUGUUCAAAAACCUUACGUAGGCACAGGUGUUCAAUCUGAACCUUUAAGUUAAAGGGUUAAAGAAUAAGGUUUUAAAUUCAGUACUUAAAAACCACUCCAUGGUUUGAUCUUUUCUCACUCUUUUGUCUAUGGACUACCCUUAAAUUCCAGUUAAGUCAGGUUUCUUCUUUGACGUAGAUAAGAAAGGCCCCUGGCUUUCUGCACACUUGCAGAAGACAGUUAGAUGAUUAGAGCACUGAUAUUUUUCAGUACUAUUGAUCAAAACAGGUCUGAGAACAGUGCUGUAGAAGAACAUAGAUGCUGCAAACUUUAAAGUCUGAUAAACCACCCACAUCCUCAGAUAACCCACUGCUUCUGUGGCUGCAGCACGAUCUUAUUCCUCCUUAGGUGUUCACUGCUCUGAUGAUUUACUGUGCUCCUGACAAAGGCUAGCUGCUCUGAGAGUAGGAAUAAAGGAGACUGAGAAGCUACUGGGGCAAAGGAAGUAGCUUAUGAAGAUUCAAGGCAGUGGAAGACCCUAGGAUAAACUUAAAUUUAUAGUAUUUGUGUAUAGCCUAUACUGUACAGACUAAAAGCUAGGUUCACUAGGUUUUAAAAGAAGGAAUGGGUUUGUCUCUUUAACACAAAUAACCAUGUGAGAAUAAAAGCAUAUUUCAACUGUGAGAGGGAAUUAUUCUCCUUAACUUAUAUUUUCAUUGCAGUUUAACUCAGGAAAAAAAAAAUAUUACUGAAAUAAGCAUUAUCCCAAACCAACUGCAGUCUUUUUAUUUCCUUAUCCAACCUAGCUCUUGUGAGGUGCAAUGCAUUCCUAGUCCCACAUGACUAGGAAUAUAUUUACGUGACUCAAGUUUAAUUUUCACAUUCAGGAAAAAUGUAUCUAUAUGCCACUGCACAUAUCCCCAAAUGCUACGGUAGAAUUUGUGUCAAUAAUCAUAUGAUCUAACAAAAACAUGACAGUGGGAAUCUCUGUUUUGUGAGGAAUGCAUGAACUGACCAGUUUGUAGUGAAUACCCACAAACAGCACAAAGACUCAGUACUUCACCGGUAAAAAUCCUUUUCUCUUCAGACAAUUGAGGGCAGGUGAAAUAUUUUCAAAACCUGAGGCUACGAGAUAUACAUAUGCCAUCUUGAUUAAACAUAUGGAAUGCAUACUCAAAGAAAAGCCAAGUGGAGUCCUAGUUGAGUAAUCAAAACACCCAAGCUGAGAGGGGUUAACAUGCGAGGAUCAGCUCUGAACUUUGAAGUUUUCUGGUCUUCAUUUUUCCUAAUUAAGACAAGAUUUAAUAACCAAACCACUGUACAAACUAUGUACUUAAACUCUAGGUUUGUUUCUAAUUUUGUUGGGAAUUCUUAGAGAUUCCAAAGAAUCAGUACCCCUGGGAAGUUCACCCAGUAAGGUGGAUUGUUUUGUUUGUUUUUUUUCUCUUUUUUUUCACUUAGGUAGAAGGGCUGAAUGCCAGCUUUUCAUCUUUUCUUCUUUGCCAUUGCCUCUUAUAUACAGUUAUUAGGUAACCCUCAAAGAAAAGAAAAUAACUAAAGAUGCACAAUUAAUACCUUUGAAUUACUAGGUGAGCUCCAGAAAACAACUUUUGGAAAGCUAUGUAGUAAGUGCACAAAAACAUUCUCCAGAUAAAAGCAUUUAAUUACUCGCAUAUCUUCAUUUCAGAGCAGGGAACAGCAUCACAUUUGUCAUAAAGGCAUUAGCUCCUGAUAAAUCUAUUUAUAUUCAGCUGUUCUUUGUUUACUAAUGGAUGGUACCCUGUUUUCUCCCCUGCUCCAUUCUCCCUCCAUCUCCCUCCCUUACCCAGAACAAGGUGUUACUCUACAGGGAAAGAGGAGCACAAUUCAACUCUGUAUCUGAUGUUAACAAUAGCACAUUUUUCUUUUUCCUUUUAUAUGGUAAUUUUAUAUUGCCAUAUAGAUAACAAAAUGUCAUGUUACUAAUUGACUCACAGAGAAAAAGUUGGUUUGAUAAAAGCCAGUUUAAAACAUCUCCAGAUGUUUAUGAAGUUUCUGACAUAAAAAAGAUAAAUUUAAUCAGCUGAUUUGAGUUCAGAGUUACAUAUUUACUUUACAUACUAGUCCACAAGAAAGCUUAAAGAACAAUUCAAAGGCAGCUAAAUAGACUUAUUGCUGAAGCACAGAAAUGCAAAAGCUCUAAAAAAUUGGACCAAAAUGCAGUAAACUUUAAGGCACCAUUUACCAUUCAACAGGAAACCACCUGUAAUUUAAACCUGUUAAGAUGCUUUGAACCCUAUUUUGUCGAAUUGUAUUCUUACGCAUGACAAGAACAACAAAUUACCUUUGUAGUGUGUUUCAGAAGCUGAAAAUGAAGAUCUAUAUAAUUGUAUACACCAACUAUGCAUAAACAAGAUGCUCAUGCUCUACUGUCUACAACCACAUGGGACCAACACUUAAAAUUCCUUAUUAGUUUUCAACCUUUAUGUUUACUGGAAAUUCCUUAUUUUAGGA